rnacentral:lncRNA from 1 species
GGAGAAUUGUCUUAGCAUAAAUCACAUUUCCAGAUGAUACACAAUCAGAUGCAUUAAGAAAGUUGGCCUAUCAGGUUAUCUUUGCAUUGUGUUUUGUCCUAUGAGUUUUAAGAUUACAAAUUACUAGAUUGGAGACCACCACCAUUUCAAGGAAACAAAGCUAAUAUAUGAAAAAAUACACAAUGAUUUAUAAUUUAAGGGCAGCACCUUGCAAUGUUCCGGCAAUAUAAUACUACAGUACUAUGCAGUAAUGUGCAUUUUUUUGCAUUUUUUUUUUUUCAAAAUUAAGGACAGAGAACACCCUGUUUUGAAUCACACUGAGGAGCUGAGCAUUAAAUUAACUUUCCUCAUAUGCAGCAGAUGAUAGGGAAAGACCAUGGAUUGCACUAACUUCAGGUAAAAAGAUCCUCUUGCAGAAGAACUUGAUUUGCACAAGUGAUGUGCGAUAAAACAGAAAUUUGAUGCAAUAUGCUGCUUGUUUCUGCAGCUGCUUCUCUGCAAAGGAAGCAACCGCAUCCAGGAUCCAGGAAGUCGUCAUUGACAACAGAAGGGCAAACGAGGAAUUUCUAAGGUGCCAGAAAAUGUGUGGCUUUAUAGAAG